rnacentral:rRNA from 1 species
GCGGCGGACGGGUGAGUAAUGCCUGGGAAAUUGCCCUGAUGUGGGGGAUAACCAUUGGAAACGAUGGCUAAUACCGCAUAACGUCUACGGACCAAAGAGGGGGACCUUCGGGCCUCUCGCUUCAGGAUAUGCCCAGGUGGGAUUAGCUAGUUGGUGAGGUAAUGGCUCACCAAGGCGACGAUCCCUAGCUGGUCUGAGAGGAUGAUCAGCCACACUGGAACUGAGACACGGUCCAGACUCCUACGGGAGGCAGCAGUGGGGAAUAUUGCACAAUGGGCGCAAGCCUGAUGCAGCCAUGCCGCGUGUAUGAAGAAGGCCUUCGGGUUGUAAAGUACUUUCAGUCGUGAGGAAGGCGUUGAAGUUAAUAGCUUCGUCGUUUGACGUUAGCGACAGAAGAAGCACCGGCUAACUCCGUGCCAGCAGCCGCGGUAAUACGGAGGGUGCGAGCGUUAAUCGGAAUUACUGGGCGUAAAGCGCAUGCAGGUGGUUUGUUAAGUCAG